rnacentral:rRNA from 1 species
UUGCUUCUUUGCUGACGAGUGGCGGACGGGUGAGUAAUGUCUGGGAAACUGCCUGAUGGAGGGGGAUAACUACUGGAAACGGUAGCUAAUACCGCAUAACGUCGCAAGACCAAAGAGGGGGACCUUCGGGCCUCUUGCCAUCGGAUGUGCCCAGAUGGGAUUAGCUAGUAGGUGGGGUAACGGCUCACCUAGGCGACGAUCCCUAGCUGGUCUGAGAGGAUGACCAGCCACACUGGAACUGAGACACGGUCCAGACUCCUACGGGAGGCAGCAGUGGGGAAUAUUGCACAAUGGGCGCAAGCCUGAUGCAGCCAUGCCGCGUGUAUGAAGAAGGCCUUCGGGUUGUAAAGUACUUUCAGCGGGGAGGAAGGGAGUAAAGUUAAUACCUUUGCUCAUUGACGUUACCCGCAGAAGAAGCACCGGCUAACUCCGUGCCAGCAGCCGCGGUAAUACGGAGGGUGCAAGCGUUAAUCGGAAUUACUGGGCGUAAAGCGCACGCAGGCGGUUUGUUAAGUCAGAUGUGAAAUCCCCGGGCUCAACCUGGGAACUGCAUCUGAUACUGGCAAGCUUGAGUCUCGUAGAGGGGGGUAGAAUUCCAGGUGUAGCGGUGAAAUGCGUAGAGAUCUGGAGGAAUACCGGUGGCGAAGGCGGCCCCCUGGACGAAGACUGACGCUCAGGUGCGAAAGCGUGGGGAGCAAACAGGAUUAGAUACCCUGGUAGUCCACGCCGUAAACGAUGUCGACUUGGAGGUUGUGCCCUUGAGGCGUGGCUUCCGGAGCUAACGCGUUAAGUCGACCGCCUGGGGAGUACGGCCGCAAGGUUAAAACUCAAAUGAAUUGACGGGGGCCCGCACAAGCGGUGGAGCAUGUGGUUUAAUUCGAUGCAACGCGAAGAACCUUACCUGGUCUUGACAUCCACGGAAGUUUUCAGAGAUGAGAAUGUGCCUUCGGGAACCGUGAGACAGGUGCUGCAUGGCUGUCGUCAGCUCGUGUUGUGAAAUGUUGGGUUAAGUCCCGCAACGAGCGCAACCCUUAUCCUUUGUUGCCAGCGGUCCGGCCGGGAACUCAAAGGAGACUGCCAGUG